rnacentral:lncRNA from 1 species
UUCCAGGCAGGGAAGACAAGGUAAAGUAUGCUGAAAUUCUGCUGUGUUCACUUUUAGAUAAAACACGGAUUCAUGCUGCUGAAGUCCAUGGAGAUGCUAAAGUCAGUCAUGUAUAAACAGUGAUCUAUGAUCUAAAGUUUCAGGAGGGACGAAGAAUGCACAGUCCAAAAUGUUGGUCAUCUACCUGAGAAACACAUUAACAACAGGGAUCAGAAGAGCCUUUUGGCAUGAAGCAGAAAAGAAUCCCGACAAAAGAACCCCGACUGGGCCCGGGCCGGGGCAGGGCCGGGAAGGCGCGGCGGGGCCUGCAGGGCGGCCGGCGGCCACAGGGGGGCUUCGUUCAGCCUCUCACAGUGGAGCGGCGGCGGCCGCUUGGCUUUCCCCCUCCCUCACGGAGGCUGUGCUUCCAGCGCUGGGUUAUCCCGUUCAUUCCAGGUUCUUAAAUUCUGCCCCCUUAACGCCGUUCAGGUUAAAGGCAGUUCAGCACAACUUGCCCUUUUCAUAAGUGUUGUGUUACCUUAAUAAAAAUGUGCUAAAAGCACUUACAGCCGUCCAGAAUUCUGGGGUACUGCUCUACUUUUUACUACCAACGGGUACUUCAACCAUUUAUUCCUUAAAUAAUUAGCCAUGAGAGUAAUCACAGAAUCAUAGAAUUGUUUGAGCUGGAAGGGACCCUUAAAGGCCAUCUAGUCCAUCUCCCCUGCAAUGAACAGGGACACCUACAGCUUGAUCAGGGUGCUCAGAGCCCCGUCCAGCCUGACCUUGUAUGUCUCCAGAGACCCCAUCCACCACCUCUCUGGGCAACCUGUGCCAGUGCCUCACCACCCUUAAUGUAAAAAACUUCCUUACAUCUAGUCUAAUUCUCCCCUCUUUUAGUUAGAAACCAUUUCCCCUUGUCUUAACACAACGGAUGCUACUGGAGGGUCUGCCCCCUUUUUUUUCUUACAGCCCCCCUUUAGAUACUGAAAGGCUGCUAAUACAUAUGAACAACAACAAUACAUCUUUUUGUUAUUAUUAUUACUUAAACAAUUGCAUUCAUUCAUAGAUCUCAAAGUGCUAUUUAAAUGAGGUCAGCACAAUUAACCCUGCUGAACCACUGCUGUGCAGAGCUUCCAGACUGCUGUCACUGUGCAUCAGCCGAGCACACAGUCCUGUCUCUAACACCUUUAAGCAAAGACUGGAGCCAAAACCAAAGCGGCAGGAAGCUUCCAUAUUAGAUAAGGUUUUUGGACACAGAAGCUCUCACUGCCUCGAAGAGAGAGAGAAAACAGCCUGAAAGCAUUUGGAAACUGCCCUGCUGUGGUUGGAACAGUUGGGGAUCACUGAAGAACUGCAAUGAGGGGGAGCAGCAGCUGGCAAAAGCUAGGAGAGUUAGGUGCAAGAGGAGAGCAGAGCUCCUUAAGUAACACACAGCCCAGGGAGCUGUCACGGGUCUGAGAUAGGUUCCUGUUCUUCCUCGGAGAGAAACGUUCCCGGUGAUCUGGAAGAGCGAGGGGGCUAAAGCCCUAAAAGGAGGCCUCCAAUUUUAGAAAUGCCUCUUGUCCCCACAAUCCCUCCAUUUUUAUAACAUUUUUUAGGUAUGACAUUAUACAAACUAUGUAACUGACAAAUCCUCCAUUUGCAUUAGAUUUAAGUGGCUUCCCUCCCAUCACUCCUCGCUGUUAAAAAUACAUUACAGAAAUUACUAUCCCGCCUAGGAAAAUGUGUGAUGACUCCAGUGUCUGUCGUUUAUGUCUAAAACAUUUUGGCACUUAUCCUGCCAGGUUGUCUUUUCCUUUCAGCUUUGAGUGAGAGAAGGGGAAGUGCAGGGUGAGGGGCCAGAUUUUUCUAUUUCCCUAGUUGCUGCCUGCAUGCAUUUCAGCCCACACUGCAGGCGUGAUGGGAUCUAAAUGCUGAGCAGGAGCAGUGAAAUCCUCAGGAGGAAAAGAGAAUAGAAAGCAGAGAGAAGCCACACUUCAGGCUACCCUAAGAGUGUCUGUAUCAAAUCAGAGCAAAGAUACUGCCCAAGAUCUUGUCUUCCUACAGCAGUCAAUAUUUACAGAGAAACUAUCAGCAAACAGCAAGCGUGACAUGAUCUUUCCUCUUGAGUCACCUUUCAGCUUCUGCAAAGGGGACAGACACCUUUCUGCCUUCAUCUCAUUUGCAUGUGGACUGAAUUUGGCCCUCUGCAUCUGAACAAGCCCCCAGUCUCCUUCACUCCCCUCUCCUGCAGCCCCCAGCUGCUACAUCAGUGCCAUUGGGGCUGCUCACAUCAGGCAUUUCUAAACACUAAUCAAGCACAGAGAUCCCUUUUCCCUCUGCUAAGAGCCUGGCUCAAUCUGGAAGGAAAGGAGGAGAAUCAAUCUACCUGAUUGCUGUAUCCCUUUCAUCUUGCACUUUGCAGCCCCUUGCCAAGCAGAGCAGCGGGAGAGUCUCAGCUCGAUCAGCUCAGCUGCUCCCGGCAGGUGUCACUAUGGAAUGGCAAAAUGCAACUCGAAGGCUGUGAUUGCUGCUGCAGGCAGAGUGUCCGCUGAAGUGCCACGUUGGUACCAUGGCGCUGCAGCCAGGAAAGUUUCCUAAUUAGAUCUGAAACAGAGGUGCUGCUGCCCUCUGCUUUCCCCAUGUUUGUCUCUCCACGCUCACAACCCUAACAGUGGGUUGGAGGAGUUUUCUGGUUUUUUUUGUGUUUUCUUAAAUAUAUAUAUAUGCAACAUUGCUUAGCAAUGAAUGAAGAGUCACCCUUCUUCAUGGAUCGCUGCCUCGUGUAGUAACAUGAGCACAAUGACGUGUAAAGUUUCCAGAACUGUUGGUAAUUACUGAUAAGCCCAGUUCAGCUCUCAGUUACAUACAAAGCUGGGUAAACAAUGGGAGGAAAAAAUUAAUUAGAGCCCAUGUUUGCUAAAGCUGGCUAGCGAUUCCAUCUGAUCACGUUCCUGCUCCUUUCAUUCCCUUUGCACAAAUGUUUGGGUGGUCAGGUUAUGUUGGUGCGUAGGUGCACAGGAGGAGCUUUUGUCUGUGCAAAUACUGCAUCUCUCCCAGGGCAUGGGCCCUUCUGGUAAGCACUCGCCCUUCCCUUGUGUUUGCAGCUGGGAAGGUGUCUGAAGGCCUGGGCAGGCAGAGGUUAAAUGGUUGCCUCUCCCACGCAAUACAUACCUGAAGUCUCCAUACCACCAAAACCAGCAAGGGAAGAAGGAAGAGAGAACAGGUGGGAAUAGGAAACAAUAGGAAGGACACACAUCUAGAGAAAUUUCACACAUGUUUUGACCCCAUAGUACUCUUUGGCAAUGUGUCUUCUGUGACACAGCACAGCCUAUGUGAAGCGGAAAAGGAAGAUUCAGAAAGCUUCUCUUUGGCAUGGGCUGGACACAUUACUAGCACAAACAUUGGGCCUAGAUCACAUUGCUUCACUUGCUGGGAACGCUGGGACUGGUCAAGUUCUUAGAGACUUAUUCCAAUCAAUUGUAAGACUUCAUGAGUACUACACGGCACCUUGAACACUGCAUGGGCUGCUUGUAUCUGCCUGAUUUCUCAUCAGGGACUCAGGCAACUUCCAGUGUGACAGGAGUCAGGGUGUUGCCAGGGAUCUAAACAUCAUGUUCUCCUCCAUGACUGAAUCCUCUCACUGUGGCAGGACUGAUUUCCUUGUGUAAAAGUAAGUCUGGUCUUGACAAUGUGGUCAGACCAGACGACCUCCAAACAUCCCUUCCAACUAAAAUAACUCUGUUAAGUCCAUGAUUGUGGGGUCAUUUCCUGCUAUACUUCUUUCCCUGAAGUGCUUCCUCAGAGCCAGUGCCUCAGUGAUUUCUUCAGAUUCAGCUCAAAAUUGUGGAAACUAGGUCAAGCCAUGAUGGGAAAGCUACAAGGCCAAGCUUACCAUGAGAAAUCAUGGGGAAAAUACAAAGCCUACACCAUGAUUCUUACGGCAUGAAUGGAAUGGGAUGCAUCCACUAGAAGAACUGGUUGCACAGCAAAAUAUAUUUAUAUAUAUAUAUAUAGGAGACAAUGCAGUUCUUUUGGAAAUAGCUUGUAGAGAGUACCAAAUUGGACUGAUUUUUUGAUGUCAAUAAACCAUCUGAUGAGUCCUGGCAUCUUCAGAGUCUUGUGAUGUCUUUCUCCUCUUGUGAAGAAAUGCUUGGCAGAUGAAUCCAUAAAAUCCUGUCCUUUUGUGCACUCAUUUUACAGCACUGUUUGUGUCCUGGUGCACAGAGUUGUGUUUUAUGGAGUGCUAGGAAAGGCUCAGAUCAAAGCUAAUGCGAUUUAUCCAUGAUACUUUCUGCAAGAAGAGUUCAAAAGAUAGGAAAUCACAUAUGAAGAAAAUUAGGCUUUGCAUAUAAUUUCCUGUACUUUAUGGAGAGCUGAGACCACAGAAAGAAGUAUUCUGGUGAUAGGCCUGAUACUUAUCCCUUCUUUCUCCCACUAGCACAUUGGAUAAUAUAGAUCCCAUCUAAUUUAACCCGUGGGGACUCCUCUUUGCCUCCAACCGCUGACCUGACAGUGUGCUUCUAACACAAACUCUGAGUGUAAUUAAAUUCUCUUAUUUCCCCAUUUGAGCUACUAUUAGGAAAAAAAAAAAAAAAGCCAAAAAAACAUUCCUAUGCUCCUAUUUUCGUUUACUUCAAACAGUUGCUGGAUAUAAGCCAUUCUAAUUAAACUGCAAAGUUCUUCUGUGGGCAGCUCAGAUGUUGCUAAAAUUGAUGUCAAGUGUUACAGAAAUCUGUAUUGUUUGCAGUGAUCUUUCUGAAUUCCACUGGCAUAGAGAAGUAGCAGCCAAAAACAAACAAACAAACAAACAAACAAACAAACAAUCAAAUAAAUAAAUAAAGCCCCUAGAUCUAUUUACUAUUGCUUUUUUUUUUUUUUUUUUUUUGGCUGUUCCCAGGGUCUUCAUGCAAUUUGCUAAGCCAGGAUACAGCUUGAUGCAGGACAUCAGCUGAUAAAUGUGGGUGGUACUUGGGCUUCAGAUAAAGAUUAAUCUAUAAAUUAAUCAGGGGACAAGAAAAUCUCCUUCCAUAACAAGAACAGCCCUUGUAAAUCAAGGUUUCAAUUUGGUAUAAUUAAAUGAGCAACUGGCCUGCAAAUUGUUGACCACACACAGGUUACAGAAGUGAUACUAUUGUAACCUACAUGGUUGUGCCAAGUUUCCAACAGAAGACCCUGAGGCACUUCUCUAGCGGUGUGGGAAGGUCUGGAGCAUCACCCAGCUGAGCUGCGUGCACUUGCUCAUACUCAAUUAGCAAGUUCAGGCUGUGUAUAUAACCCAUGCUGCCUACGGUGCCAAGCAGCCAAUUGCCCUCAGCAGCUACUAAUAUAGAAUUGCAAAGUAUAGUUAAUUAAGUAGGUACAAUUUAUUCCAUAGUAUGUUCCCUGUGUAUAAAACUGCGUGUAGUUUUUGGCUAUUGAUGUAGGAUACUGCUUUAAGAGUUAUCCCUUGUGUUCCUGGUCUCAGGUGCCCAUUCCUUCUUCUACGUAGUAUGUGGGACCUUGGCCUGUACUUGGGAUUGUGGAGUCAUAGAAUCAUAGAAUCCUUAGAUUUGGAAGGGACCUCUGAAGGCCACAUAGUCCAACUCCCCUGCAAUGAACAGGGACACCACAGCUAAAUCAGGUUUCCCAGGGCCUUAUUGAGCCUCACCUUGAAAGUCUCCAGGGACAGGGCAUCAACCACAUUGAGUAACCUGUUCCAGUGCCUCACCACCCUCACUGUAAAAGAGUUUUUCCUUAUAUCCAAACUAAAUCCACCCUCCCUGAGCUUGAAACCAUUUCCCUUUGUUCUAUUGCCACAGAUCCUGCUAAAGAGUCUUUGCCCUUCUUUCCCGUAGCUCCCCUUUAGAUACUGAAAGGCUGUUAUCAGGUCACCUCUCAGCCUUCUCUUCUCCAGGCUGCACAGCCCCAGCUCUCUCAGCCUGUACGCGUAGGAGAGGUGUUCCAUUCCCUGAAUCAUUUUUGUGCCCCUUCUCUGGAUGCACUCCUAGAAGUCUAUGCCUGUCAAGUCUCCUGUACUGAGGACUCCACAGCUGCAUGCAGUACUCCAGGUGAGACCUCACAGCGCAGUGUAGAGGGGCAGGAUCACCUCCCUCGUCCUAUUGGUCAUAUCUGGUCUAGUGGUUGGCAACCUUGCACAUAGCAGGGGGGUUGAAACUAGAUGAUCAUUGUGGUCCCUUUCAACACAGGCCAUUAUAUGAUAUAAUUCUAUGAUCUUUUGUUGCAGAUCAGGAUAUGUUUGGCUUUCUGAGCUGCAAGGGCACACUGCUGGCUCAUGUCUAGCUUGCCAUCCACCAGUCCCCCCAAGUCUUUUUCAGCAGGGCUGCAUUUAGUCCUUUCACCCCCCAGCUUAAAUUUGUAGUGGGAGUUAUCUUGACCCAAAUGUAAGAUCUUGUAUUUGGAUUUGUUGAAUCUCCUGACGUUCACCUGGGCUCACUGCUCAAGCUCAAGUCCCUCUGGUGUGUAGACUGCACCCCACAGCUUGGUGUCAUCAGUGAACUUGCUGAGGGUGCACUUGACCCCACUGUCGAUGCCACUGUUGAAUAUUAAAGAGUAUCAGCUCCAGCACUGACCCCUGGGAGAUACCACCCAUUACUGAUCUCCAUCCAGACACUGAGCUGUUGACCACCACUCUCUGGACUUAAUCCUGUGGCCAGUUCUUCAUCCAUCGAACAGUCUACCCAUCUGUUGUGGAGUACCAUGUCAAAGGCCUUACUGAAGUCAUAGAAUCAUAGAAUCACCAAGGUUGAAAAAGACCCACAGGAUCACCCAGUCCAACCAUCCACCUAUCACCAAUAGUUCUCAUUAAAUCAUGUCCCUCAGAAAAAUGUCCAAAUGUUCCUUGAACACCUCCAGGGUUGGUGACUCCACCACCUCCCUGGGCAGCCCAUUCCAGUGCCUGACCACUCUUUCAGAGAAGUAGUAGCUGUCUAAUGCAGAGAUUCUGCAUCAUAGAAUCAUAGAAUGGCCUGGGUUAAAAAGGACCACAGUGAUCAUCUAGUUUCAACCCCCCUGCUAUGUGCAGGGUCUCCAACCACUAGACCAGGCUGCCCAGAGCCAUAUCAUGCUCAGAGGCAGUGAGCUGUGACUUAUAUGUACAGAGGAUGUAUGGAAAAUUCUUUGCUAAUACAAGGGGGCCUGUUUUAGAAGUUGCUUGUGAGUCUCCUUUCACAGAGAAUCAUGCUUUUCAGACUAGGCAUCAUGUUGUUUGAAAGCAGAUUUGUGACAACUGCAUUGCUAGUUAUAGGGUGAAGAGGGAUGCAAUGAAACUUUAUGUGUACUUUAAAGUCAUUAAAGAAAAAAAAUGAAAAAACACAGAAGUAAUUUAUGAAUGAUUGAGCAUACUCUGGAUGCUACUGUUGAAUGAAAUCUUGCUUUCCACUCUGUCUCUGCUUCUUACAGUGAGAUUUGGUAGGAUCUGCCAUUGUCUGGGUGAAAGUGAACUACCUGUUCGGUUUUGAGGAUGAAUUAAACAUUCUUAUUGCACAUCUCAUCUUAUUAAAAGUAUUAUUCUUGGCAUGCAAAAAAGCUUUGUUCCUGCACAGUAAAUGAGAUAUAUAAGUCCACUGAAAGAAGCUAAGACCAGUCAAAGCAGAGACCAGAAAACAGUACCACAUGCUUCUUUUAAAAAGAAAGAAACAACAGACAAACCAAACAACAAAAAUGCUGGAAGAGACAGUGAAAGAUAAAGAUGUAUUUGAAUGAUCUGGUAAUUAUACGUACACCAAGAGGCAUUCAUUUGUUUAUCUAUUCUUCCUUUGCCAACAUUGGCGAGCAGGCAGAAACUAGGCUCUUCCAACCUUCUCUGUCAUUUGCUGCUUCUUUCAUCUGCCUUCCAGUUUUGAAAUCAAACACUUAGCUCUCCCUCUUCUAUGGAAAUCUGCAAGGUUUCUGUUGUACUUCUUUACUUGAGUUGGCUUCCAAUUCACACGGCUGUAAACAGGACCAAUAUGAAAGGCUAACUGAUUAGUUUGGAAGAUUGAUUUAUUAUUUUCAGGAAAAAAUAGAAGGCAACGAAUCCUGCACACUGGGAAUAUUACUUGUAGUGACAAAGAUGGCGGCUAGGUGUUGGAAGGGCUGAUGGAUGUGUAAUGAACACAGGCCUGUUCCAUUUAUUUACCACAGGUAUAAAGACAAUUGCCCUAAAUGCACAUUUCAGAUAUACGGGAAGGAAUAGUGUCUGCCCCUAACAGUCCACGUUUUGACUUAGAAUAAAACACAGCAGCAAUUAGGAGGAUAAUGCGAGAAGUAGGAGAACAGCAGUAAGAUCAUACAGCAAAUAAGUAUGUACAUGCACAAUCAGAUCCAAGCCAUUUUAAAGUAGAGUUGUGUGAAUAAUUGUUUCUUCAGUUCAAAGGUCAAGCUGAAAAAAAAAAUACAGAUGCAUUUUGGGUUGCUCUGAAGCAUAAAAUUGUAUUGGUUUUCUUGGCAAAAUGGAAAAAAAAAAGUAGAAAAUAUCUGGAGUUGAAGUCAAAGUUAAAAGUUCAUUUAGUUGGAGGAAUCUAAGCGCUCAUUAAAUGAUUUAUUCCAAGAAGUUUAAAAACAAUCAUUUUUGAACAAAAGUUUGAAAUACUGUGAAAAUAGGGAAAUAAUUUCUCUUAAUUGGAUUUUCUUUUUUUUCAGUCACAAUUAUUGGCCAGAUAAAGCCAGUUAGGAACAAUUUUCACCUGAUCUUUUUGUCUAGUGAAUGUUGACUCUCAGUCUUCCUUGUACUUCAACCUUUCACAAGGUAGUGCAUUUCUUAAAAUAACUCUUUUAAAAAAACUUCUGAGGAAAAUGAUGACAUGAUAUUUAAAUGAGAAACUUUAACUCUCUUCUCCUGGGGAAGAAGGAAAAAACUAAGAUUAUCGAGAAAAUAUUGCAGUGAAGGUAUUCUUUAGGUUUUUGGUUUUUAAAUAAGUCAUGACAAAUGAAAAAAGUAGCUAUUCUUGAGCAGUACAUCAAAACUGGUACUGAUAAAUUAGCAGCCCUGAGAAACAAAACAGAACAAAACAGCAUGUGGUGCCAGUGUGUUCGGGUUAGUGUUAUGGAUUUGCACUGGAGUUACUAAGUCAUCAUUUUUGCAGCAAAUUGGUAUGGAACAAGGGUCUUCUGGGUGACUCCAUAGUUCUGUGUGGAGCUGACGACAGACAAUAUUUGUGUUUGAUCAUACUGGCUGUUCAGGUGUCAGCAUGGAGCAGGAAGAUCCCAAGACUGAAAUCACUCAUUUUCACUCGUUAGGAAGAAGUUGGUGUGUCUUUGAGGGCUGUGGUUUCAAAUUAUCUAUUCUUCUUGUAAUAGUUCAAAGAUUAAAGAAGGAACAGAGAUUGUUUUCCUGGAUCAUGAAGGAUGACCAUUGCAUGGGCUCUGCAGGAGGUGCGUGGCAAAGAAACAGGUUUUGCCCAGGAUUUUAUGACCAUUUUAGUAGUAGUAGGUUCCUGCAUUCCAACUCUAUAUUUUUUUAACUUAUAUUGAGAGAUAUUUUCUUUCUUUUAAAG